UACGUAGGGGGCAAGCGUUAUCCGGAUUUACUGGGUGUAAAGGGAGCGUAGACGGCUGUACAAGUCUGAAGUGAAAGCCCGUGGCUCAACCGCGGAACUGCUUUGGAAACUGUAAAGCUGGAGUACUGGAGAGGCAGGCGGAAUUCCUAGUGUAGCGGUGAAAUGCGUAGAUAUUAGGAGGAACACCAGUGGCGAAGGCGGCCUGCUGGACAGAAACUGACGUUGAGGCUCGAAAGCGUGGGGAGCAA
rnacentral:rRNA from 1 species